CACACACCUGGACAGGUAGCGCGCCCACACACACACACACACCUGGACAGGUAGCGCGCCCACACACACACACACACACCUGGACAGGUAGCGCGCCCACACACACACACACACACCUGGACAGGUAGCGCGCCCACACACACACACACACCUGGACAGGUAGCACGCCCACACACACCUGGACAGGUAAGGUUUCAGAGUGUUUUUGUACCUCAAGUUCUUUAAUUUUCUCAUCAGCUGUUUUCUGUUUGUCUGUCAGCUGAUUGUUGAUUUCCUCCUUCGACUGAAGAAUGAACCUGAGACACACACACACACACACACACACACACCACCAGUGCAGUUUAUUAUCUAUCCAGGUGAACAAAAGUCUUGUUGUUGCCAUGGAAACUCACAUGCGUCCAACUCCCUCGUAGAGUCGCGUGUUGUCCGGCAGCACGCCGAUCUCUGCGUGAGUUAGCUUAGCAUGUUUCUGAACCCGAGUCAGCUGAUCGAUCUGCAGGUCGGCCAACUUCACCUUCUGCUGCGUGUCGAUCAUCUUCACCUGCAGCUCCGAGAACGCCUACAACAGAGAGGUAUCACUCUGAUUAAACACACCUGAACCAACAACAGAGAGGUAUCACUCUGAUUAAACACACCUGAACCAACAACAGAGAGGUAUCACUCUGAUUAAACACACCUGAACCAACAACAGAGAGGUAUCACUCUGAUUAAAUACACCUGAACCAACAACAGAGAGGUAUCACUCUGAUUAAAUACACCUGAACCAACAACAGAGAGGUAUCACUCUGAUUAAAUACACCUGAACCAACAACAGAGAGGUAUCACUCUGAUUAAACUCACCUGAACCAACAACAGAGAGGUAUCACUCUGAUUAAACUCACCUGAACCAACAACAGAGAGGUAUCACUCUGAUUAAACACACCUGAACCAACAACAGAGAGGUAUCACUCUGAUUAAACUCACCUGAACCAACAACAGAGAGGUAUCACUCUGAUUAAAUACACCUGAACCUCCUCCUCACUGAUUAAUCUUUCAUCGAUAUAUG